AUUGAACGCUGGCGGCAGGCCUAACACAUGCAAGUCGAACGAGUGGCGGACGUGUGCUUAAUGUCUGUGAAACUGCCCGAUGGAGGGGGAUAACUACUGGAAACGGUAGCUAAUACCGCAUACCAUCGGAUGUGCCCAGAUGGGAUUAGCUAGUAGGUGGGGUAAUGGCUCCCCUAGGCGACGAUCCCUAGCUGGUCUGAGAGGAUGCCCAGCCAGACUGGAAUGGAUACACGGUCCAGACGCCUAAGGGAGGUCGCAGUGGGGAAUAUGGCACAAUGGGCGCAAGCCUGAUGCAGCCAUGCCGCGUGUAUGAAGAAGGCCUUCGGGUUGUAAAGUACGUUCAGCGAGGAGGUGUUACUCGCAGAAGAAGCACCGGCUAACUCCGUGCCAGCAGCCGCGGUAAUAC
rnacentral:rRNA from 1 species